rnacentral:rRNA from 1 species
UACGAAGGGGGCGAGCGUUGUUCGGAAUUACUGGGCGUAAAGGGCGCGUAGGCGGUGUGUCAAGUCAGGCGUGAAAGCCCCGGGCUCAACCUGGGAACCGCGCUUGAGACUGGCACGCUCGAGUCCGGGAGAGGAUGGUGGAAUUCCCAGUGUAGAGGUGAAAUGCGUAGAUAUCUGGAGGAACACCGGUGGCGAAGGCGGCAUCCUGGACCAAUACUGACGCUGAGGAGCGAAAGCCAGGGGAGCAAACGGG